UCAGCGUCAGCAGAUCGUGUGCUCACGAAACAGGUGAGCGUUAAAUCACGAAUGAAAUAGCAGGGGCAUUUGAAAGCGAUUCUCUAAACACAAUCACGUAAAAACUCCAUUUCGAAGGAUUGUACAUAACUUUUCUUCUAUCUGUUGCUUUUUUUUUGGCCAGAUAUGUUGAUAAGGGUGAAGCAGCCUAAUAUUGCAAUCUUUUAACAAGAUCCAUGUUUUUUUUAACAAAUAUUGAGAAGCUAAUCAUUCUGUCAGGAUGUACAAUGCUUCUAAUAAUAGUUAUUUUGAUAACAGCCUGUGUUGUAUGUCCAAAGUGUUACAUCAACAAAAAGAUUACACAAAAACGAAAAAAGGAAGAAAACGAACUAAAAUGCUUAAGAAAUAGUUUCCCACUAAGCUUCUUAGAAAAAGAACCACCUCCACCUUACGAUUCAACAGCUGGAAAAUCUCACAUUGACAUUGACUCUACAAUUGAAUUUAACAGAAGGUCUGUGAACAGUGUUACAAGUAUUUGUUCUGAAACAGAUUCAGUUGCAGGAAUACCUUUGCCACUAUUGGUAAGUAUCAAAAAUUUGAUAGAUAUCUUUUUAUUUUAAUUUUUUAAGAGUAUGGAACCCCCAGGGGCACACUCUUGUGUGACGGGCAUGGCGCACCCGGGGCCCCGAGCUGGACCUGAGCAUUUUUCUAUUUCUCUCUUGCGACGGUCCUGUUUCGAUUUUCCGACCUUUUAUCAAAUGUUUAUAUUGACCUAGUGGACGAAUUUUAUUUCAUUCAAAAACACUGUUUAUCAGUUAGAGAUUAUAUAUCUUCUAAUUUUUGUUUGUUUUCUACUGGUUUUGUCGGGUUUCCUGAUUUAUGUUUCACCUAUUUAUUUUAAAUAACCAAUCUUUCCCUAAAGCAUGCAGACUAACAACG